CCUACGGGGGGCUGCAGUGGGGAAUAUUGGACAAUGGGGGCAACCCUGAUCCAGCCAUGCCGCGUGUGUGAAGAAGGCCCUCGGGUUGUAAAGCACUUUCAGUGAGGAAGAACGCCUGGUGGUUAAUACCCAUCAGGAAAGCCAUCACUCACAGAAGAAGCACCGGCUAACUCCGUGCCAGCAGCCGCGGUAAUACGGAGGGUGCGAGCGUUAAUCGGAAUUACUGGGCGUAAAGCGCGCGUAGGUGGCUUGAUAAGCCGGUUGUGAAAGCCCCGGGCUCAACCUGGGAACGGCAUCCGGAACUGUCAAGCUAGAGUGCAGGAGAGGAAGGUAGAAUUCCCGGUGUAGCGGUGAAAUGCGUAGAGAUCGGGAGGAAUACCAGUGGCGAAGGCGGCCUUCUGGACUGACACUGACACUGAGGUGCGAAAGCGUGGGUAGCAAACAGGAUUAGAUACCCGAGUAGUC
rnacentral:rRNA from 1 species